GGGCCGCCUCCGCCGAGUCCGGUCCCGACCGGAGCCGGGGACCCAACACGACACCGGGGUGAAUCGGAGCACCAGCCGUGCUCCGUAGGACCGCCUUCCGAGGUCCGAACCCGACAGCUAACCCGGUAGGCGGUCCUUGGAAGGAGUC
rnacentral:sRNA from 2 species